rnacentral:misc_RNA from 1 species
UUGGUCAAUUCUCAAAAGUGCUCAGACGCUCAAAGUUGCAAAGAGUUUCGCGUGGUCCUCUGGCGGGCGCUCUCCAGGCGCGGCCCGGCGGCGGGUGUACCCGCCGGCCCGCCAAAGCAACGUUGCAGGUCAACAUAGGGUGGGAGCAGAGGCACAUGGGCCUCGGUACUCGAUAAUGAUCCUUCCGCAGGUUCACCUACGGAAA